AGCAGCAGCCGCGGUAAUACGUAGGUGGCAAGCGUUGUCCGGAAUUAUUGGGCGUAAAGGGUGCGUAGGCGGUUUGAUAAGUCUUGUGUAAAAUCCAUGGGCUCAACCCAUAGUCUGCACAGGAAACUGUCGGGCUUGAGAGUGGGAGAGGUGAGUGGAAUUUCCGGUGUAGCGGUGAAAUGCGUAGAUAUCGGAAGGAACACCUGUGGCGAAAGCGGCCCACUGGACCAUUUCUGACGCUGAUGCACGAAAGCUAGGGGAGCGAACAGGAUUAGAUACCCCUGUAAUCCCUGUCUCUUAUAC
rnacentral:rRNA from 1 species